UUUCGUCACACACCAGACCACAAGGGCUGAUGAGACUGUCAGGAUAAGUGAAGCG
rnacentral:pre_miRNA from 1 species